UUAUUAUUAUUAUUAUUAUUAUUAAUUUUUGGCUUUUUUCGAGACAGAGUUUCUAUGUAUAAUAGCUCUGGCUGUCCAGAAACUCACUUUGUAGACCAGGCUGGCCUCAAACUCAGAGAUCCACCUGCCUCUGCCUCCCAAGUGCUAGGAUUAAAGGUGUAGACCAUUACUGCCUGUCUUCCUUAUUAUUUUUAUGUGAACAAAUGUUUGCUUGCAUGUAUGCAAGUAUACCACAUUCAUGCAGUGCCUAAGUAGGCCAGAAGAGGGCAUCAGAGCCCCUACAACUGGUGUUACAAAAAGUUAUGAGUCCCAUAUGGGUGCUGGGAACCAAACCCAAGUUCUCUGCCACAGGAGCAAGUGCUACUACUGACUGCCAGGGCACCUCUCCAGCCCCUUCAUCUUAAUUUUUGAGACAGGUUCUCUCACUGAACCUGGAGCUCAUCAUUUUGGCUAGACUGACUGGCCAGGGAGCCCUGGAAUUCCCUUCUCUAUUCCUAGCCCUGUGGUUAGACAUGCCCUGCCAUACCUCUGUUUUAAAUUGGGUGAUAGAAAAAUGAACUCAGGUCCUCAUGGUUUCAUGGCAAAUGUUUAAUUUACCAAGUCACCUCCCCAGCCUUCACUUUUUAAAAAGUGAAAUUAAAGUUAUCAACUCAAAUGGCAAGUUUUAAAAGCAAAUACAUUCUAACAUAAUACAAUCCAAAGAUUUACUAAUUUGAUACAUAUUUGGUAAGAAAUGAUGAAAGAAAAGUAUUAAAAGUCUUUGCUUCCCAUAAUUAAACCAUUAUGUUUCUAAAGAGCAGAAAACUAUCUGUACAGUUAAAAAAAACCAUUGUCAUUCCUAGCAUGUAAUAAUCCCAAACCUUCCAUUAUACUCUCAGCUGCACUCAGAGUUUCAGGCAUCGCCUUCUGCGGGUGCCUCACAGGGAAUGUACUUCUUGUGGCUACACAUAUUUAGCUUUUCACGAUUCCCUCUGAAAUCUAGGUAGAAGUCUGUGAAAAGCUCAAGUUCAGUUUGUAUAGACCACCCCCCAUCCCCCCACUCCCACCCCCCACCCCGGCCAUGUACUCCCAAGUUGAUGCUCCUCAACUAGAAACUGCAUAGCAAAUACUUCCUGGGAUAGGGCAGACUUCCCAUCCAAUGCCAGACCCUAAUUAAACUUUCAUUUUCUAGACUUCUCUGCAGCCUCUAAACUCAGGGAGGUGGUCAUCCCCCUUCCCUGCAAGCAGUGUGCAUCUCUUUCCCUGUCUGCUGUCCUGGCAUUCCUGGGAAGAAUAUUUCAGCAAAGGUCACAGAUCUUCUUAUGCUAAGGGACAAUGCAGAGCACAAGGGAAUGCUGAAGAGUUGACUGUGACAUCUGCAUCUAGAGCUAAGCCUAAAGCAUCUCUGGCUCCACAGUCAUGUCUGUGCCUUGCUGCUGAAUUCAGAAGGGUUGCACUUCCUCAGAUUUGGUGCAUACCCAAGUCUUUCCAGAGACUCGAUUUUCAAUGUUCCUCUGCCUAGCACUAGUGCUGUCCACCUUCAGUGUUCUGAGCUUCUCUACAUAAGUAUGGAAAGCCUCCUGACCCUGGCAUAGUAGACCAAGGCCAACUGGCAGAUAGAAGACUGGCUUGAAUCUCCCAUUUCCACUCCUCUUCCUGAGCACUCUGAACACCAGGUUAUAUGUGAAGGCGAUUCUCUCAUCAUCCUGAAAUUCCUAAUUACCUACGGUAAAAAAUACUGACAGGAGAUCUGAAUCCAAUGGCUCACCCGGUUUUUUUGAAUGGCGCUUUAGUGAAUACACAUUUGUAAACACACACAUACCCUGUGUGACGGUAGAAAGGAGAUUGUGUGUGCAGGAAAGGGUCUAAACGGAGAAGGAAAAAAGAAAUACAAAUGUGAAAGCAGAAGCAGACUAUUGGAGGAGAGUGGAAUAAGGAUGGAUGAUGAGCGGGUAGAUAUUAUCAAGGCACACCCUGGAAGUGAACAAGAAUCAUCAGCACUUACUACUGCUCUGUGCCAGGAAACUGUGCAUUUCAUGUGCUCUAUAACAUCUACUCCUCAAACCACAUGAGGGAGAGACUAUCACUUACAAAUGAAGUUAAGGCACAGAGAGGUCAAGAAACUUUCCCAAGGCCACACAGCUUCUUGGUCGCAGUGCUGUGAUUCAAACAAUGGUCUAAAGAAGCAUGGUGUCCACAGAUGCCUUCCAAACAAUGGUCAACGACAAGUUCAGCAAUCCCAUAAUACUGUCUGCUAAUACAUUCUCCUUUCAGUCUACAAUUUGGUAGAAGUCCAUCAUCCUUUGUCUUAGACUGUUACUGGGUUAACAUGAUCUGAAAUCCAGAAUUUUCCAGUAUUAGAGAAAUAAUAGUUUUGCCCUGAUAGGCUGUGGGCAGCACCUGACUCAAACCCUCAGUAGUGACAAUGACGCAGCAGUGUCUUCAGUACCCAAGACAAAGCCAUUUAACACUCACACACGCAGGUCCCAUUUUUUUGGAUUAAACUUAGAAGAAAUGUGUUUCUUGGAAGUUUUAAGCUCUGUUUACUUCAGACAAGAGCAAAUGGACCUGAGACCCAACCCAGGCAGAAACCAAGUCGUUCACAAACUUUCUAUGCUCAAGUCACUGUUUUCAUUCCUGAAUGGUAUUAGAUCUUCUAAAAGGCUUCCAGUGACCAAGCAAUCUUGGGCCCAAUACAAGCUACACGGCAAUUCUGGGAACUGCUCUAAAAACCACACCAGCCAGCAUGGCACAGAGCCGCUGCUGAUGGUGCAGCAGGGGCAUCAGAGACAGUCCUGCCCAGGAGUGGAUGGCAGGAGCCAAGAGCUACACCGUCCUUGUUUCAAAGUGGCCCCAGGAUCUGCCCAGGAAAAGCAGAGCUGAGGGGUGCAUGGCGCCUGGUUUGCAUAGACACUGGAGGUAACAGACAGAGACUCUGCCCUUACCAGUUCCACGGGAAUGCAUCCUGCCCCAAGACCAGUCACAGAAAGAGGCUAAAACACCAGCUUUGCCCUUGUCACCUCGUUAGCUAGGGUGAUGGCUGACAUGACUGCCUUUCCAUAACAUAUAAAGCUAACAGACAGAAAACCACACAGUAAUUGCAUAGUACCUUUUCUGCGUGGUCACAACAACUGUAGUCUUUGCAGACACUAAUGUUUGGGAACUUUUAGGCUUUUUCCAAGAAAAUGGCUCACGCACAGCUAUUAAUGCCUCUUCACCACUCACGACAUUCACUUCAAGAUGUCGCCCAAUAAGAAAGUUGGAGAAACACAGCAGAAGGAGCUCCUUGCAACGGCCAGGGUUUCUUGAAAAAAAAAAAAGAAGAAGAAGAAAUUUAGUCUUAGUUAUGAAUGAGGCAGAAUCAAUCUGAUUUCCCUUUCAGUAUUUAAGGAAGUUGUAAAGCUGUAGUAAGUAUCAGCCAAGCUGACUUCUUAGUAAUUUUUUUCUAACACAGGAAAGUUUACUUUAUAAAGCAAGAAAUACAGUAUUUUCCAAGUGUGAUGGUUAAUCCCAACUGUCAGUGUGGUUAAGGUCUAUAAUCACUACAGAGAUAGCCCUCUGGGUAUGCCUAUAGACACUGUUGGUUAGAUGAACUGAGGUAGGAAAACUUGCUGACUGUGUCUCCAUUUCCUGGGAUGAGAUUGUGAAGCAUAUGAAAAGGAGAAGCAAGCUGAGCAGAGGCCUCGCUGCUCUCUGUUUUGUGCAUGCAAUGUUCUUCUGCCAUGAUG